ensembl:lncRNA
UUUAAGUCUUAGCAUCCACAACCAUCAAUACAAACCAAACUUCUAGCACCAUACAAACCUAGUCCAACUAUUUUCAUUACGUCAUUGAAAACACAUCUACAUUCAAUUUUCCUUUGUUGGUAUGAGGAUCCAUUAUUUAGAAAAGUUUUAAAAAACAAGUUAAAGGUGACAAACUUCAGUCAGUGUUUCAACUGUAAGAGAUAAGGAGUGUCUAUGUGAUUACUACUGUCAAUGUAGUCACAAAUGAUUAUCUGGCCAUGUAUAUUAUUGCAUACUUACAAUAAACUGUAAAAAGAUUUCCAUAUUACAGUUUUUUUCCAACUGCUUACACACAAAAUCUUUUCAUGUCACACGAUUUUUGAAACCUCUCACUCAAAGUGCAAAACUACACACCAAAUAUCCAAAACCAUAAGCUAUUUCUCAGCCUUUGACUCAGUUGUCAAUUGCAUUAAACACUUUUUUUCAAAACACUACACACAAUUCUCUACCUAAAACAAAAAAAUCUAACAGGAAGUGACUUGCUUUCCUUUUCCAAACACAACCAAUCAAAAUGCUACACUUAUUCACCAGGUCACACACACUCCUCACGUGCGCAAACACAAAUAGCUUAACUGAUCACUAACCAAUCACUGCUUUACUGUAGUAUAGGCCUAUAAAUAGGUCAAAGGUCACAUUACCUGUUUUGAACAAUGGAUACCAACAAUGGACAGAGAGCAAGAGGAGUAGGAGGGAGAGGAAGAAGAGGACGAGGGCAAAGAAGAGAAGGAAGGAGAGCCAUCUCUGAUGAGAUUAGGGCAACACUUGUUGAUCAUGUGAUCAACCACUGUUUGACCAUGAGAGAGGCUGGACUGAGAGUCCAGCCCAACUUGAGUCGAUUUACAGUGGCAUCCAUAAUUCAAACCUUCAGAAAUGAACAGAGUGGAAAGGCAAAGACAUCAUGGAGGACGAGGACGCUUGUUUACAGAUGAACAAGAGACUGCCAUUAUCAAUAUGGUUUUGGCCAACAAUGCAAUAAGGAUUGGAGAGAUAAGAGAGCAUAUCUUGAAUAAUGACACCAUAUUUAACAACAUCAAUGCUGUAAGCCUGUCGACCAUACAACGCAUCCUCCAACGGCACCGAGUGACGAUGAAACAACUUUACAAGGUGCCAUUUGAGAGAAACUCUGACAGUCAAGAAUAUGCGACAUGACUUUGUAGAGGUAUGUAUGCAACACUACUUCC